rnacentral:rRNA from 1 species
UACGUAGGUCCCGAGCGUUGUCCGGAUUUAUUGGGCGUAAAGCGAGCGCAGGUGGUUUAUUAAGUCUGGUGUAAAAGGCAGUGGCUCAACCAUUGUAUGCAUUGGAAACUGGUAGACUUGAGUGCAGGAGAGGGGAGUGGAAUUCCAUGUGUAGCGGUGAGAUGCGUAGAUAUAUGGAGGAACACCGGUGGCGAAAGCGGCUCUCUGACCUGUAACUGACACUGAGGCUCGAAAGCGUGGGGAGCAAACAGG